rnacentral:rRNA from 1 species
UCCUACGGGGCGCAGCAGUGGGGAAUAUUGCACAAUGGGGGAAACCCUGAUGCAGCGACGCCGCGUGAGCGAUGAAGUAUUUCGGUAUGUAAAGCUCUAUCAGCAGGGAAGAAAAUGACGGUACCUGACUAAGAAGCCCCGGCUAACUACGUGCCAGCAGCCGCGGUAAUACGUAGGGGGCAAGCGUUAUCCGGAUUUACUGGGUGUAAAGGGAGCGUAGACGGCAGGGCAAGCCAGAUGUGAAAGGCUGGGGCUCAACCCCAGGACUGCAUUUGGAACUGUCAUGCUAGAGUGUCGGAGAGGCA